GUGCCAGCAGCCGCGGUAAUUCCAGCUCCAAUAGCGUAUAUUAAAGUUGUUGUGGUUAAAAAGCUCGUAGUUGAACCUUGGGCCUGGCUGGCCGGUCCGCCUCACCGCGUGCACUGGUCCGGCCGGGCCUUUCCCUCCGUGGAACCCCAUACCCUUCACUGGGCGUGGCGGGGAAACAGGACAUUUACUUUGAAAAAAUUAGAGUGCUCCAGGCAGGCCUAUGCUCGAAUACAUUAGCAUGGAAUAAUAAAAUAGGACGCGCGGUUCUAUUUUGUUGGUUUAUAGGACCGCCGUAAUGAUUAAUAGGGACAGUCGGGGGCAUCAGUAUUCAACUGUCAGAGGUGAAAUUCUUGGAUCAGUUGAAGACUAACUACUGCGAAAGCAUUUGCCAAGGAUGUUUUCAUUAAUCAGGAACGAAAGUUAGGGGAUCGAAGACGAUCAGAUACCGUCGUAGUCUUAACCAUAAACUAUGCCGACUGGGGAUCGGACGGUGUUUAUUUCAUGACCCGUUCGGCACCUUUACGAGAAAUCAAAGUGCUUUGGGCUCCAGGGGGAGUAUGGUCGCAAGGCUGAAACUUUAAAGAAAUUGACGGGAAGGCCACCACCAGGGGUGGGAGCCUGCGGCUUUAAUUUGACUCAACACGGGAAAACUCACCAGGUCCAGACACAAUAAGGAUUGACAGAUUGAGAGCUCUUUCUUGAUUUUUGUGGGUGGUGGGUGCAUGGCCGUUCUUAGUUGGUGGGGGUGACUUUGUCUGCUUAAUUGCGAUUAACGAACGAGACCUUAACCUGCUAAAAUAAGCCCGCAUUUGCUCCCGGCAGUUGCGCUGGCUGUCUUAAGAGGGGACUAUUUCGGUCUACAAGCGCGAAAGAGA
rnacentral:rRNA from 1 species